rnacentral:rRNA from 1 species
GACGAACGCUGGCGGCGUGCUUAACACAUGCAAGUCGAACGGAAAGGCCCUGCUUUUGUGGGGUGCUCGAGUGGCGAACGGGUGAGUAACACGUGAGUAACCUGCCCUUGACUUUGGGAUAACUUCAGGAAACUGGGGCUAAUACCGGAUAGGAGCUCCUGCUGCAUGGUGGGGGUUGGAAAGUUUCGGCGGUUGGGGAUGGACUCGCGGCUUAUCAGCUUGUUGGUGGGGUAGUGGCUUACCAAGGCUUUGACGGGUAGCCGGCCUGAGAGGGUGACCGGCCACAUUGGGACUGAGAUACGGCCCAGACUGCUACGGGAGGCAGCAGUGGGGAACAUUGCACAAUGGGCGGAAGCCUGAUGCAGCAACGCCGCGUGCGGGAUGACGGCCUUCGGGUUGUAAACCGCUUUCGCCUGUGACGAAGCGUGAGUGACGGUAAUGGGUAAAGAAGCACCGGCUAACUACGUG